ensembl:snRNA U2 U2 spliceosomal RNA
AUCGCUUCUCGGCCUUUUGGCUAAGAUCAAGUGUAGUAUCUGUUCUUAUCAGUUUAAUAUCUGAUACGUCCCCUACCCGGGGACCAUAUAUUAAAUUGAUUUUUGGAACUGGGAGAUGGAAUAGGGGCUUGCUCCGUCCGCUUGGGGAGUGGUGGCCUAGUGGUUAGAGCACAGAGCUUUGGUCCCAGAGGNNNN